AUAAAUCUUUUCUGGAGCAGUUACUAUCUGCUGUUGAGGUUUCUGCUACAGAUGCACAAAAAAAGUGUCCUCCCACUUUCUGUCUGUCUGGAUUGUGGCGGCCCAGAUUGAAUAGGGGAAUACAGGA